GGCGGACGGGUGAGUAACGCGUGAACAAUCUGCCCUGUACAAAGGAAUAGCCUCGGGAAACCGGGAUUAAAACCGUAUGACACUUUUUUGCCGCAUGGUAGUAAAGUCAAAUAUUUCAUAGGUAUGGGAUGAGUUCGCGUCUGGUUAGCUGGUUGGUAAGGUAACGGCUUACCAAGGCGACGAUCAGUAGCCGGCCUGAGAGGGUGGACGGCCACACUGGCACUGAGACACGGUCCAGACUCCUACGGGAGGCAGCAGUGGGGAAUAUUGCACAAUGGAGGGAACUCUGAUGCAGCGACGCCGCGUGAGUGAAGAAGGUCUUCGGAUCGUAAAACUCUGUCCUUGGUGAAGAAAAGGACGGUAGCCAAGGAGGAAGCCCCGGCUAACUACGUGCCAGCAGCCGCGGUAAUACGUAGGGGGCGAGCGUUGUCCGGAUUUACUGGGCGUAAAGGGUGAGUAGGCGGUUAUAUAUGUCAGGUGUAAAAGGCUAUGGCUUAAUCAUGGUUAGCACUUGAAACUGUAUGACUUGAGUGCAGGAGAGGUAAGCGGAAUUCCUAGUGUAGCGGUGAAAUGCGUAGAUAUUAGGAGGAACACCAGUGGCGAAGGCGGCUUACUGGACUGUAACUGACGCUGAGUCACGAAAGCGUGGGUAGCAAACAGGAUUAGAUACCCUGGUAGUCCACGCUGUAAACGAUGAGUGCUAGGUGUUGGGUAGCGAUACUCAGUGCCGGAGUCAACACAAUAAGCACUCCGCCUGGGGAGUACGUACGCAAGUAUGAAACUCAAAGGAAUUGACGGGGACCCGCACAAGCAGCGGAGCAUGUGGUUUAAUUCGAAGCAACGCGAAGAACCUUACCAAGGAUUGACAUCCCCUUGACAGGUACAGAGAUGUACAAUCAUUUUCGAAUGCAAGGGAGACAGGUGGUGCAUGGUUGUCGUCAGCUCGUGUCGUGAGAUGUUGGGUUAAGUCCCGCAACGAGCGCAACCCUUAUCCUUAGUUGCCAUCAAGUAGAGUUGGGCACUCUAAGGAGACUGCCGGUGAUAAACCGGAGGAAGGUGGGGAUGACGUCAAAUCAUCAUGCCCCUUAUGUCUUGGGCUACACACGUGCUACAAUGGUCGGUACAACGGGAAGCGAAGAAGUGAUUUGGAGCAAAUCCCAAUAAACCGAUCCCAGUUCGGAUUGCAGGCUGCAACUCGCCUGCAUGAAGUCGGAGUUGCUAGUAAUCGCGAAUCAGAACGUCGCGGUGAAUGCGUUCCCGGGUCU
rnacentral:rRNA from 1 species